rnacentral:rRNA from 1 species
UACGGAGGAUGCAAGCGUUAUCCGGAAUGAUUGGGCGUAAAGCGUCCGCAGGUGGCUAUGUAAGUCUGCUGUUAAAGAGUGAGGCUCAACCUCAUAAGAGCAGUGGAAACUACAUGGCUAGAGUGCGUUCGGGGCAGAGGGAAUUCCUGGUGUAGCGGUGAAAUGCGUAGAGAUCGGGAGGAACACCAGUGGCGAAGGCGACUACCUGGCCUGUUCUUGACGCUGAGGCGCGAAAGCUAGGGGAGCAAACGGG